ACUAGGAGUCAAGGAGGAUUCUGGGAAAUGUAGUAAAAAGAUCCAGGCAGGAAGUGACAUAGCAGGCAGACUCAGAAUAUAAGCAGGAAAUAGCUCUCUUGCUCUUCCUCUUCCUCUCUUCUCUACAGAGCCACCAUGUGAUCCUGGGAAGAGGACACCAGCAGAAGGCAUUCUCAAUAAGGCGCCCACGUGGCGGGGCAGAACUCCGGCAGCCAGUGGAAAGACUUAUCUUUACAUAAGCCAGCUACUAUCUCCAAGGCAUCCGGAUUUUUGGCAGGAAACAGGUUCUCACGGGAUUUGUGUGCAGGAAGCUGCUAGGAAUAUCACCAUCAGCUCCAUUCAGAGUGAGAAAAGCAGAAGCAGGCAAAGAGACAACCUGAGGUUGGCUGCAACUGCAUUGAAGGCAUCAGCUACCCUGUGCUGUGCUGCCCACCCAAAGGAGUCCCACUGCCAGAGAGAAGAAUGUGAACCAGUCUGCUCCCUCCUGACUGCUUCUUCCCUGAGACACAUCUGCAAAUAUCACGUAUCCUCUAGUGCAAUCGGCUAAAAAAUCUCUAUUGAAAGUUGAACUGGGUUAGGUUUUUAGAAAGCUGUGCUACUCUAGACAUCAUCUCUGUCUGGAUUACAUUAUUGUGGAGAAGAAUGAAUAGAACAGAACCAAGAAUAAAAACUUCACAUUUUUCUGAACAUUGAUCAAGACCAAUGUCUUAAAUAUUUAAUUCAUGAGUGAUUAAUUAUUUCAUGUAUUUGUAACCUAUUGCACUCAAUGUAUAUCAAAAUGAAAAACUGAAUUAUGCACAGGGAUAUCCAGAACACCUAUCUGAAGCCUUUCCAGUCCUGGACACACCUGGUCAGUACAACCGUCCUUCAUGAUCUUCUGUGUGGGAGUGUUUUCAGUGCCUUCUCUGAAACACUAAAAUCUGUAAGUGUCAUGUCUCUUAUGUAGUAAUACUUACAAAUAAUCCAUGAAAAGUCUUCUUGUACACUAAAUCAUCCCUAAACUACUUAAAUACUCAUUCAUAUAAAUUGGUUAAAUGUUAUUAUACUAUAUUGUCUAGGGGAAAGUAAGAACAAAAUAAGCCAAUGAAAGUUUCAUAAAGAUAUAUUUGUUUUCAAAUAUUUCAGCCUGAGCUUGAUUCCUUUUGUGGCUGAGGAUCCUGUAAUGGGAGAGAGCUGAUGUAUUUGAGCUGGUGUUCAGUCCUUAGCAAACCAUAGCUGGCUCUGGAAGCCGUACCCUGUCCUCCUACCAGCAGCAGCACGGUGACACAAGUCUUUGCCGCUAUUUUCACGCCUCAGAGAGUUGAGUCAUGAAGUCAGGAUCUGCCUAUGAAUUCUUUGUGUAUGGUUAGCCCACAUCCAGACCAUUUCUGUUGUGCCUCUACUUAGAAUUCAGCCACUGCCUGACUAACCCUCAGCUGUUUGUCAGACACCAUGCCCGUGACUACUUCCUUGACAGGACGUCCUGCAGUUUUCCCAGCUCUGCUAGACCUGGUUAAUUACCUAUGUAUUCUAGACUAUGUCACAAAUGAAGAGACAUCACCAACCAAUUCAACCUGACCCCAUUACUGAAUAGAGGUUGGGAAAUUUCUCUGCCCUGUCCAGCCUGCUGGUAUGGUCCUUCAGCACAAUGGUUUCUUGACUAAAACCUCACCUUGCUGAACCACUCUCUUUCCCUUGUGAUCAUUACUUAGGUUCAGCUCUGUACACUGGUGUGUAGGGUGUUCUGUGGGUCUUAUUACUUCCUGUAUUGUUCCAACAGUCUCCGAUUUUUCUUCACGUGCAGUGCCCUGUGCUGGUGACAUGGUGCCACAUAAAGGAAACCAGCCUUGCCUUUGAGGUUAUUUAGAAUUACUCCCAUUUAAAUUUUGAGCUUUCCAUCUAUAUUCAAACAAUUCUGAGCCUUGGUCAUUUUGAAUCAAAUUGGCAUCCAGCCCCCUAUACCAACAGCAUGCGCUGUCCUCAGCAUAGUUGGUAUGUGGUGUGUGGUGACCCCUUUCUUUCCUCCCCUCUUUGGUGUGGAUUGCUUAUUAAUUCUGUGUCAGAUCAUUCUAUAUCUGCCUCUUCCUGCUUACACAGGUGUGAAAAGGAAAGACGAUAAAUUCCACUAUUCCCUGCACACAUAAAACCACAGCUGGAAUAAUUAGUUCCAACCCAUUAGCUCUUAGAACUCACCCACCUUCUGGAAAAGAACACUGAGUUUUUCAACUUUUCACUAUGAAAUAAUGUAAAACUUAGAAAGAAGUUGUGAAUAUGAAAUGAUAGAGAACAUUUCCAUGUUUGUGUUGUACUGAAAACAAACUUUGUAAUUGAAAUCGUGUCAGUCGAUUUGGGGUCAAUCAAAAAAAACCUAUUUCUAUGUUGGUCUGAAUGAAUGUAAAGAGCUAGCAAAAGAAGGAAACUCAGUUCCAAGUGAGAGAGAAAAAAACAAGAAUUUUGAUCAACACCCUUCACCUUUCAUGGCUGGGAACUGAGGUGCUGUAUAGGACCUAACAACCCCUUAAAUGAUACCCAGAAAAAGGACACACAUGGGGAGAGUCAUGGUAACUCUAUUACACAAAGAACUUAUUCUACUUACACACUACCUGAGUUUUUAGGACAACCAUGAGUUGUAAAUGAAAACAGAAUCUGCCAGUACUUGAUUCCUGUCUGUGAGACUCUGUGUCCUUCUUGACUUAGAGAAAUUGACAAUAAAUAGAUAUAUCAAACCACAGAUUUCAUAUUCAUUUAUUUAUGGAGCUGUAAGAUAAUGACUACAUGAAUUAUAUUUAAUUUGAGACAGUUAAAUUACCUUUUCUCUUUACAAACUUCUGCCCAC
ensembl:lincRNA